AGACACAUGCCGAUUUUGGUGGCUGGGGUCCAUGUCUGAAUCUGGAGCUUGGGAGGGAUUUAACUAAAGAUGCAGGUUUGGGAGUCAUUAGGAGCUCCCGUGGCUGUGUUCUUGGUCCAUGAGUGGACUAGUGGGGACCAGAAAUGCUAGGAUUUUUGUCUAGGACUGAGACUCGGAACUGCUGCUUCUGGAAUGGAAUCGGUUGUCAAGCGCCGCUCCUCCCAGCCUCCAAUUUCAUAGAACUUCCAAAUAACUGCAGGAGCUGUAAAAACAGGGUGAACUGCAUCUAGCAGGAUUUCCUCUGCCUGCCCAUGGGACCACAGACAUGUAGUUUCCCUGAAGUUAGGCGUCAUGCAGAAAGCCCCUCCCAGGCCCAGCACUGGGCAGGACUUGGCAGACGGAAGGCACUUCCCUCGCCUCCUGAGACACCCAUGAGAGCUUCCACCUGAAAAACACAUCCAUUCCUGACACAAUGGCUGCGUGAUGCUCCCUGAGGUCAGUGUGGGCGCCAGCCUGGAGGAAAAAGUGAGGUGAUGGGUCUGACCCCAGUGCCUUUGCUCGGUACGGCAAGGCUCUGACGUUUCCCAGCCUGGAUGUGGGAGGAAGGCCUGGUGCGGCUGGGGGCCGAAGGUCCUGAGGGUCGGGACGGAGCCACUCUGAGCAUGGACUUCAAAACAGGAAAUCUGCAGGUUUGUCCUGGACGCCUAUUGGCCCCUGGCCGAGGGGCCAGAAUGUCCACCCUCCCCACGAGCAGAAGCCCUGAAUCUGAAACAUCAGAACAGAAGGCAGUAAGGAAAGGGCUGGUGCAGCGGGGCCACUGGCACAUCCUGUUCCCCUCGGCUCUAUUAACACCUGCUGUUCUUCAGUCUGAGCCCCUCACCUCCCCAGAAGACAAGAAGGGGUCGAAGUCCCCGGUUACGCAUGCCCAUUGGACCGUGAAGGAUUGUGGUGCCUGUUCAAACAUCAAACCAAGGUGGGGGUUGGCUUCCUGCCCGUAUCAUGAGCGAUGGCUCCAGUCCAGGAUCCCUUCGAGGACCCAAGUGAACCCUGACACAAACGAAGCACCACGUGUGCCCAGCUAUGAGCAUGUUAUUACUGAAGCUGCCGUGAAGGUAAAAGCUAAGCAACAGCAUCUCAAGUCAGGGUUGGUGGAGGCUUCAGUUCCGGUUGCCCCUCUGAGAUGGAGUCCCGCCUUCCAGAGUCCGUGGGAUUUUCCUUAAAGAGUCAGCAUAUGUGAACCCAAAGCACUACGAGGUUUUAAUUUCCUUCUUCGAGGCCUUCUGUAAGAGCCCAUCAGGAUCUAUUAACCAAUACAAACAGAUUGGCUUUCAAAACGUGAGGUUCGUUGAUUCUCUUGGGCAGGGGACACAUCCUUUAAUCGAUUUUCUCCUAUGUUCCCAAGACUGGCUAACAGCCAAGGGCAGGGACCUAAGGGACACACUUUUCUCCCCCCUCCCCCA
rnacentral:lncRNA from 1 species